GGUCCGCUGGCGUAAUGGCAGCGCGUCUGACUACGAUACAUAUCGUGCAAUCAGGAGGUUCCAGGUUCGACCCCUGGGCGGAUCG
rnacentral:tRNA from 1 species